UGCCUACGGGAGGCAGCAGUGAGGAAUAUUGGACAAUGGGAGCAAUCCUGAUCCAGCAAUGCCGCGUGUGGGAUGACGGGGCUUCGCCUUGUAAACCACUGUCGGACGGGACGAGAAGAGGUAUGAACCUCUGGGACGGUACCGUCAAAGGAAGGAUCGGCUAACUACGUGCCAGCAGCCGCGGUAAUACGUAGGAUCCGAGCGUUGUCCGGAAUUACUGGGUAUAAAGGGUGCGUAGGCGGCUUUUUGCGUCAGAGGUGAAAUCCACGGGCUCAACCUGUGGGGUGCCUUUGAAACGGGAAGGCUUGGGUAUGACAGAGGCGGAUGGAAUUCCUGGUGUAGCAGUGAAAUGCGUAGAUAUCAGGAGGAACACCGGUGGCGAAGGCGGUCCGCUGGGUCAUAACUGACGCUGAGGCACGAAAGCGUGGGGAUCAAACAGGAUUAGAUACCCCAGUAGUCG
rnacentral:rRNA from 1 species